rnacentral:lncRNA from 1 species
CACGUUACAAGUUGACCCAGCCUCAGCCCCGCGCCCCAAGCUCAGGAAAGAGGCGCGAGGAAACCCGAGGCAUGUCGGGUUCACCUGCAGCACCAGUGGUGAAGGAGCAACGCACUUCGCUUGGAGGAAACCCACGGGUCUGUAACUGGCUGAGCUAUGUCUCCAGAACCAGGCAGCGCUCAGCAUCUUGAAAAGGAAAAAUCAGACCACAAACCAUACUGAACAAGUCACUUUAUGAGGAAGCAUCCAGGGAAUGAUGCACAAACAAGUCAGGGGGAUCACUGCAGGUGGCUGGGAUUCGCCUGACAUGCCCGUAACACACCUCAGAGCAGAGUUCAGUGCCGUUAGAUAGAACGAGUCAAAAAAACAUUCAGCCUGUUUUCUCCCAAAGGAAUGCUUUAUUGACAAGUUUCCUCGGUAUUUAUCUGUGAAGAGAAACAGUUCAAGACCCACGCCCCAGCAGUCCCCGUUUCACUGGCUCUGCUCCUCGCACGGAGGCCAGUUUUAGUCAAACGAGGAGGGCUGGUAAACGACACACCACGCUCUGCCUACUGCCUAGCACAUCUGCCUUCUACUGCCUCAUCGUGUGUCCCCGGAUCAGCAGAGGGAAGGGAGUGGGGAUGGGGGAAAUGGAGAUUUAAUCAGCAAAGUGUCAAAACUUGCUUCUCUAAAGAAAGGGCAAAGAUGGUCCAGUCCCUCCAGGGUGAUAAAACUACUAAAACUACCCAGAUAUGUACAUAGGCAAGUCUAAAGACCUGAGACCUCGGAAGAGCAAAAACAUCUAUCUGCUUCGGGAACUGGUCGAGCUCUGUGACUCUGCUGGGUUUGUAAACCAAGAUCCCAGCUGGGGCUUUCGACUGAAUGACCUCCACAGUCCCAGUCAGAUGUACCAGACGGAGGAGCCCACGGAGAGCAGAGCAGAGCAGAGUCCCUCCAGCACAGCGUCCCUAAUUGCCAGCAACAGCUCUGUCCUCGUUAAACCCGGCCCUGUUGCUAGCAGCCUUCAGGAUUUCUUCCUCCAGGAAUGAAGGCAUAAGCUGAGAAGGGAGAAGCAAGUUUUAUACACUCAGGCAACAGAGUGCACCACUGAAAGUUAACACAAGAACUGGCUUCUAAGCAUGCUGCUACUACUGAACGAUGCAAAAACUCCAGUGCUCAAUAUCCAGCUUUAUAACCCUUACGGUUCUCUCUAGAGAAAAAAAAAAAAUCAUAAACGAGUAAAGCAUAAGGCAAUGUAAGGCUUGCAAUUCAGUUUCAAAGUCCAAGGGAGCAUUUCCCUAAUAUGAUGCCGAAGCUUUUUUUUUCUUAAGCUUUAUUUCUUUAAAGUUCGUUGCAUUUAAAAAUAAAGAUUUUAGUUUUGUUAAAGCUAGAGCAUUAGUGUAACAACGAGGCAGCUGCUAAGUGAAGUUUCCCUUUUAGGAGCCCAGAAAAAAAAAAAAAA